rnacentral:lncRNA from 1 species
UCCCUUGCUGGUUAUUGCUUCCAGAGCCUCUUCUCCUCCUCCUCUAUUCCUCCUCUUGAUCUUCUCUUGCUUUGGAGUGUCCAAGGCAUUGGGAUGCGCAGGAAUUUCAUGCAUGCAUUUCAAAAAAAUUUUAAUGAAAGAAUAUUAGAUUAAACUAUUUAAUCUACAAAUGUAUGCAUAAGAUCUGAUCUUAAAACUUCUACAAAUAGAUCAAUGAUAUGAAUUUACAUGCAUAAAAAUUUGAAUUCAAAAUGACAAGCAUGUGAACCAAAAAUAGCAUU